UACUAUUGGGAAUGUGAUUGUGCUGAAC
rnacentral:sRNA from 1 species